GAUCCUGGCUCAGAAUCAACGCUGGCGGCGUGCCUAACACAUGCAAGUCGAACGCGAAAGGGGAGCAAUCCCUGAGUAGAGUGGCAAACGGGUGAGUAACACGUGGGUGACCUGCCUCAGAGUGGGGGAUAACGUCCCGAAAGGGACGCUAAUACCGCAUAACAUCCUGCCUUUGGAAAGGCGGAGAUCAAAGCCGGGGAUCGCAAGACCUGGCGCUUGGAGAGGGGCCCGCGUCUGAUUAGCUAGUUGGUAGGGUAAUGGCCUACCAAGGCGACGAUCAGUAUCCGGCCUGAGAGGGCGGACGGACACACUGGGACUGAGACACGGCCCAGACUCCUACGGGAGGCAGCAG
rnacentral:rRNA from 1 species